AAUUCCUACGGGGGGCAGCAGUGAGGAAUAUUGGUCAAUGGCCGAGAGGCUGAACCAGCCAAGUCGCGUGAGGGAAGACGGCCCUACGGGUUGUAAACCUCUUUUGUCGGGGAGCAAAGCGAGUCACGUGUGACUCAUUGAGAGUACCCGAAGAAAAAGCAUCGGCUAACUCCGUGCCAGCAGCAGCGGUAAUACGGAGGAUGCGCGCGUUAUCCGGAUUGAUUGGGUUAAAAGGGUGCGCAGGCGGAGGCGCAAGUCAGCGGUCAAAUUGCGGGGCUCAAGCCCGUAC
rnacentral:rRNA from 1 species